rnacentral:lncRNA from 1 species
UUUCAUCCUUUGUUAUCAUCAAAAUCAAGGAAUCUGUUGUAGAACAAUUUUUGUUCUUACAAUCUCCCCCUUUUUGAUGAUGACAAAACAACUUAAAAUAGCAGAUGAAACAUGAAUAAAAUAAGAUCAGAUAGAUAGAAGCUCCCCCUGAGUUAGUGCUAGAGAGUUCAGAAGUUCUUACCAGAGCUUUCCAAGUAAUGAGAUUUCUGAAAACUUUCUGCAAUUUCUUAAAUUUAAUGUUAGAGCUA